GGGAGGGGGAGGGGGGGGGGGGAGGAACCCUAUGAUCUCCCGCACUGGGCCCGAGGAAAGGGCACGGCCCGGAAACGCCGCCAUCGCCUCACCCAGGCCCCGGGAGCCCGUUGCAGAGUCACCACCAACAGCCAAGCUCUCACCGCCAAGCAGGAGCCAACGUACCGGGCAUUAAUUAGCCCUGUCCCCGUCCCGUCGCCAACCCCUUCUCGUCGACAGCGGCGGAGCCGGAGCCGCCCUGCACCACCACUGACAGCGCCACCUCUGCUCUGGAGGAACACUUGCAGCUGGAGCCUGUGCAGCUCCAGGUUCUGAAGUUGAAGAGGGCUCCCCCAGGCUGAAGAGAAAACCUUCCCCAGGCUGGUCGACACCCUGAAUCUCAGCAAACCCUCUUCUCUCAAUCGAUGGCCAAUAUUCUCGCCCAGAAUAAGCUGUUUCAUUCAAGUUGCUAAGAAUGUCUCAGUGUUCUUCUCAGAAAUCAUUCUAUCCAAAUAUCCUGAAUGUUUGACAUUCGAAGAAUAAUUUUAAAAGAUCAACUUUGAUAUUAGUAUCUAAUGUGAAGACAACUCGGGUCUCGGAGGGGGAAUAACGAUGAUGUUUUCGAGCAGGCUGUCUUCAGUUUUACAAUUUAAGAAACUUGGUACAAAUUUUCAUUUCUAUUAUCAGAAUGCUGUUUGCAGUGACUAAUGUUGUUUUAUCUGUGAUGAAAUAAGACCUAUAAACCUAGGGUCAUUCUAUUUUUCUGUUCAUUCAUGGGAUGUGAAAGUCGCUGGCUAUGCCACCAUUUAUUGUCCAACUCCAGUUGGUGGUGAACUGCCUUCUUGGAUGACUGCAACCCUCAGACUGUAGGAAACAAUACAGAGAAUUUGACCAUCAA